rnacentral:rRNA from 1 species
UACAGGGGGCUCGAGCGUUAGUCGGAAUCACUGGGCUUAAAGGGUGCGUAGGCGGCUCGCCAAGUGCUUUGUGAAAUCCCCGAGCUCAACUCGGGAACAGCAGGGCAAACUGGCGAGCUUGAAGUAGGUAGGGGCCGGAAGAACAGUAGGUGGAGCGGUGAAAUGCGUAGAUAUCUACUGGAAUGCCGAUGGGGAAGCCGUCCGGCUGGGCCUAUCUUGACGCUGAGGCACGAAAGCGUGGGGAGCAAACAGG